UUAGAUCACCGAAGUCAAGCAUCAUUGGGCGCGGUCAGUACUUGGGUAGGUGAUCACCUGGGAACACCGCGUGCCGUU
rnacentral:rRNA from 1 species